AUUUGAAAUCUGGGCCCUUUUCGGGGUCCGAGUUGUAAUUUGUAGAGAGUGUUUCCGGGUGAGAUCACGGUCUAAGUCCAUUGGAACAUGGCGUCAUAGAGGGUGAGAAUCCCGUAUGUGACUGUGGAUCGAGCCCAUGUGAAGCCUCUUCGACGAGUCGAGUUGUUUGGGAAUGCAGCUCAAAAUGGGUGGUAAAUUUCAUCUAAAGCUAAAUACUGGCUGGAGACCGAUAGCGCACAAGUAGAGUGAUCGAAAGAUGAAAAGCACUUUGGAAAGAGAGUCAAACAGUACGUGAAAUUGUUGAAAGGGAAGCGCUUGCAACCAGACCUGUCCGUAGGUGAUCAGCCGCUGUUCUCAGUGGUGCACUCGCUCUGCGAUCAGGCCAGCAUCGGUUCGGGCGGUCGGAUAAAGGCCUUGGGAAUGUAGCUUCYUUCGGGGAGCCUUAUAGCCCUCGGUGCAAUGCGGCCAGCCGGGACCGAGGACCGCGCUUCGGCUAGGAUGCUGGCGUAAUGGUUGUAAGCGACCCGUCUUGAAACACGGACCAAGGAGUCUAACAUCUAUGCGAGUGUUUGGGUGUUAAACCCAUGCGCGGAAUGAAAGUGAACGGAGGUGAGAACCCUUAAGGGCGCAUCAUCGACCGAUCCAGAUGUCUUCGGAUGGAUUUGAGUAUGAGCAUAGCUUUUGGGACCCGAAA
rnacentral:rRNA from 1 species